AGUUCUGUAAAUCCCUGCUGGGAGCAGAGACUGCGAAAAGCUGAGUCCGCCGAUCGUGCCCGGGACAAGGCUGCCUUCCACUCGCCCUCGCCGCAUCUACCUGGUAGGCGGCAUGCGCACGGGCUUAGAGGCUUGAGAGCCUCUGGAAGAGAAAGGGUCCCAGGAAGGAAACCUGCCCCCGGCCUAAGUGUCGGCGCCCAGAUCACCACGAACCCCGCACCUAGGCGCCGCCCACCAAGUUCCAAAGAAGUCCGAGGCGACCUGGGAGUCGGUCGGAUCCCAGCCGAGAAAAGAAACAAGCAGGAUAGCAAUUCUUAGGGGAGCCACCCUGGGAGUUUUAGGCAGCGUUUGCCUUUCCCUGGUUUUCUUCACCAAGCCCCAUCCUCCCCCCGCAUACCACCCCCAGUCAAAAGAGUGGGAGAAAAUGCACAGUUCGAAGUCGGUGAGAGCAAAAAUGGGUCUAGUAAAUCAACCCGUGGUGGUAGCUAAAAGGUUUGGGGCUGCAAAGAAACAAACUGUAAGUUUUGAGCAACAAACUUUUUCUUCAAUCUGUAAUAUGUCGAAAUGGGAAGGGGGUGUUGCAAAAGCCAACUACCACUGUCAAACUUAGCCCGUUUACAACAUGGGGAAAGGCGUAUUUCUUACUAAUAUCUCAACAACGAUAACAAUGCUGUAUCCUUCCUUACCUUGAUGUUGAACUGCGAAUCCUCCUCCGGAUCAAUGUCCAGGAACUUAGAAGAAUUGGUGAUAUUAGGAGUUCAGUACUUCUGGAAAAAAAUGCAAAUGGUUUAGCCAGGAUCUUUCCUGUCUGAUUCGUCACUAUUAUUAUAUCUGAUGAUGCGAAUGGUUGGAGCGAUUCAAUCCUAAGUCAUUAAUGAGCUAUUUUAUAAACACCACUGUCUGAAGAUCUUCAUUUACAUUUUGCUAAGGAUCACUUCGCUAACCUCACAGGCUUGUGUCAACAGCAUGAUUUGCAGGACUUCAGUUACACUCUUAUAAACAACACGGCUGUAUUGUUAAUCGGUUAAUAUUUUAUAAAGUGUAAAUAUUUUAUUAUGUUUUGAAGGGAACUAUUGAUUCUAAAUUAUUAAACCCCUGAGAAGGACUAUUUAAAUGAAAUAUACAAUUAAGUACAAUUAAAUGUACAUUGUGGUUAGUUUGUUUUCAGAUUCUGCACCCUUUUAAAUUCAUUGCUUUUCUCUUUACUGGAGUUUCCUCUUGUCCAUUUCUGAUACUGAAAAAAAUCUAUCAUGUUAGGAAAAAGCCUAAAUUAUUUAAAGUUGCAUUAAACUUAGAGGAAAAUGUCAAAUACGAUUAAUUAUGACCAGAAAUGUAUUUUGGAUGUUUGUAGAGUUGUAUUUCAUAUCACAUUUUACAAAUUUCUUCCGAUUUAAAGGAGAGUUCUAGGAAGUUUUGUGAUCUAUGUCCGGUGUGGGUUUUUGUCCUCUCGAGUUUUGUCUCUAAUAAAGGCCUUUUUUGUUUCAAAU
rnacentral:lncRNA from 1 species